GACGAACGCUGGCGGCGUGCCUAAUACAUGCAAGUCGAACGCAGUUGCGCACGGGUGAGUAACGCGUAGGUAACUGCCUCAUAGCGGGGGAUAACUAUUGGAAACGAUAGCUAAUACCGCAUACUGUGAGAUGGACCUGCGUUGUAUUAGCUAGUUGGUGAGGUAAAGGCUCACCAAGGCGACGAUACAUUGCCGACCUGGGAGGGGGAUCGGGCACACUUGGACUGGGACAACGGCCAGACUUCGACGGGAGGCAGCAGUAGGGAAACUUCGGCAAAUGACGGAAGUCUGGACGAGCAAAGCCGGGGGAUUGAAGAAGGGUUUCGGAGUGUAAAGCUCUGUUGGUAGAGAAGCGGUAACUAAACAGAAAGGAACGGCUAACUACGUGCCAGCAGCCGCGGUAAUAC
rnacentral:rRNA from 1 species